rnacentral:tmRNA from 1 species
GGACUUUCACAUCCCGCCCGGCACGCCUAUAUUAGGGAUGUCGGGAGACCGACUAUGGCGAUAAACGCCUUGUGAAAUAAGCGUUGCGGACCCGGGGGCGGUACCCGGCGCCUCCACCAUUUAACCUUACCUAUCAAUCAGUUGCUGAUUGCCGGUCGGGCUCCAUGGGGGCGAAACAGGAUCGACGUGCGCGGUAAAGACAUGGCUUUUGCUCGGUAUGAUACCCGCCGUUAUCGGGUCAAACCUAGAGAUGCCAACGACAACGUUGCAUCCGAUCUUCGUAUGGCUGCCUAACAUCCCUAACGGGCUGUAAGUAGCUUACAAAGAACGCGGUACCAGGGGGCGCCGGGCAACGAAAGCCCCCCACC